rnacentral:lncRNA from 1 species
CAAUAUGAUGAGAUGCUGAGACGGGACAACUCGAGGAUAAGUGAUGAAGAAAUGUCCACACGGUGCUCACAAAAUUUUGCAUGUUGGUUCCAUCAAUUGGUAAGCAUCCAUUAUCAUUUUAUAUAUUUUAACUUUUUUAAUUUAUUUUUUUAUAAUAUGUAGGUCAUGAAAGGGGAUGAAUCCAUACCAAAGAAGUUGAGACCAUUACAUUAUGGGCCAACAAAAUACGUGACAUACUAUAAUGGUGGUAAUAUAAAUGAUUUCAAAUUUCACACCCACCAAUAUGAAAAUCAUAAAAGCAUAAUGAACAGUGGUGUGUGUGUGUAAAAGACAGCUGGUGGGA